rnacentral:lncRNA from 1 species
UGGGUGCAAAAUUUGGACACAGGGCUUGCCAUCUGUCCCUGUCACAGUAAAAUGUGCCUCUGCCUCCUACCCCUGUCCCCAUCCUCUGCUCUGGGCUGACAGUUUUUGAUCCUAAAUCAAAGCUGUUCGGAAGAAAAGUUAUCAGUAGAUACCCAGGAAAGGAUUUAGAAUCCUAAAACCUGAGGACUGGAAAUUGCCUCAAAGAUCAUCUAGUCUAGCCUCAUUUAUUAGAAGAGCAAUGUGAGGUGAGGUGACUCGUCCAGUGUCACACAGCUAGCUUCCUGUUUGUGUCUCAUUCCCUUGUUUCUUGCUGCUUCCAGUGGCUACUGAGAAAUCCAAAAUCCAGCUUCCAGGUGGGUAACUCCAGCAGAGGCUGGAAUACACUAGCUGCCUCUGGGGCUCCACCACUGAAGGAGCUGAGAAAUGGAAAAAUGAAGGUCCCCGUCUCAUAGGUCCAGUGCGAUUGAAUAACUUCUCUCACUUAGAACAGUGCUUGGCAUGUGGGGAGAGCUCAGGAAGAGUAUCCAUUGCUGCUAUUAAUCUCCCUUGACUGUUGCCAGAAGGCAAGUGAUACAUGGAAAGAGCUCUGAACUAGUAGAAGUUAAGAAAUUUCUAGUUCCCGCCAUGUGACUUGUGAUAAGUCAUUCACCUCAAAUCCUCAGUUUCCUCAGAUGAGGAUUUUAUGCAGCAGUGCUGGCUUAGCCAUAAAACUACAGGAGAGCUUCUCAAAGAGUAAUGUGCACACAAAUCACCUGGGGAUCUUGUCAAACUGCACAGACUCUUUCUGCAAAUCAGGUGUGGAACCCGAGAUCCGGCAUUUCUAACACGCUCCCAGGUGAUGCCAGUGCUGUUGGUCCAGGGCACCCCCAGCCCUUCUGAUGUGCCAUACAACGUAAGGAGAGCAUUCUGGUCAUCAGGCCGACAGCAGCCUCCAAGACCCUUAGGUUGUCUUCUUGACGCCAGCGGCAGCUUUCAUAAGGCAGUGCGGAGAAGUGACAUCUGCUCCUAAAGUUUCUGCAGAAAGGGGGUCUCUCUUCGUACCUAGUUUCAAGGUCUUACAUGUUCAUUAAGUUUAGCCUUCAGCCUCAGAGUAAUCUCACACUUUGCUCAAUACCGUUUUGCAGAUCUGGUGACUGCGAUGUCAGCAUUCUAAAGCCCCUCCCCUAACAGCUGGUUCCACUUCCUGGGCAGUUACGCCAUCAGGCUACGGUUGGGCCAGGUACCAGACGUUCCUCUUGGGAAGACAGGUGUGAUAUCAGGGGACAGGUGAGUGAUAAAUUCAGCUCUCAGGCUGGGAGCCAAAUCAUGUUUGAAACAGUUUCUGUCCACCUUACAAGCUUUGGUGUGGAUGGGGCAUGAGUGAAAGUAAGGGCAACAGCAAAAUCUAGCAUCACAGCCAGGAAAACCGUGAAUAACAGGAAAGAGACUUGAAAGUGAAGUGUGUUUGUGUUCUAAGAGAAUUGCAGAAACCUUAACAGGCCAACACAGCUGAGAGGACUUAACCGGCUCUAACUAAAAGUGGGCAGGUGAUUGGGUGUUUGAUACAUUCCUUUGGGAAUUUCUGGAGAGUCGGGAACUUAGAAGAGUUUGGUGUUUGAAAAUGUUUCUUUACCCGGAGGUGGGGUCCAGGGAUGGCCGUUAGGAAGCGUGACUUCAAGGUUUACUACCGGCUGCCGGGCUCCUCCUUUCUUCAGUCCAGUAGUGGGCAAAGGGUACAAAAAAAGGAUGUUUGGGCAGAGAAAUGAGAAUUGAAAACAAAGGAGACCACCAGGUAACUCCUGCUUUCAAGACUCAGCUCACCUGACAUCUCCCCACGCCCUGUGUCUGCCCCGCCGGACAGUGUUGUACUUAUUGAUUUGUCCCCUGAGGGCAGAGGCUCUGACUCCCAGGUACUCCCAGAUCCCAUCACAGGCCUGAUCCCAGUAAAUACUUGGUUAGGUGUUUGUGGAAUGAGAAAGAUGGACAGAAAAAGGAAAAGGCGGACGAAGGAAGAGGAAACCGAGGAGGAGGAAAGAAAAAGAAGGGAUUGAGCGAAGCUUUGGGAAGCCAGCUUUUCACAGUUCCAAGAACAGUUUCCAAAAUCCUUCUAACUCAGGUCCUAUUAAGCAGUCCGGCUUUCCAGCUUCCUUGAUUGCACAUGUGUAGCAAAACUCAAUGACAUCUGAGUCUGACUAAAAUGUAACCCUUUCCCGGGCAUCGGCUGUGGCCACUGGAGCUUAAAUACAGAAGACAUAGCUGUCUAGUCUCUAGCUUGGCAUUGAUUCCUUUCGUGUUUGAAGCCAGCUGAAAGACGAAGCAGGCAGGGCACAUGUCAGAACAGACGUUGUCCCCCCUCGCUCAGAACCAAGAGGCUGAUUCCUCAGCUGGCCACCUCCGAGGAGAGGAACGGAAGCCACAGGGCGGGGGGCUGGCUGACGCUGCAUUCCUCAAACCUACAGCCAGGGGAUUGUGUUAUUUCAGCCAUGCUUCGUUAGAUGGCAAAUAUGUGAGCGGCUUUAUGAGGAUCUGGGACAUUGUCGAGUCUUCGAGUUCACAGCUGAGCUGCUCCCACCCGAAUUAACCACUCCCGCCAGGCGCUGUUUGGGGUGCAGGCCGUGGGGGCACUCUGAUCCCUCAGCACCGCUAGGUUCCGAGGGUUGUCGAGACAAGAAAAAUCUCACUAAAGGCUACGCUUCUAAAAACCCUGGGCCAACUCUUACCCCAAACUUCUGGCUGCAAUGACAGUUAUACAACAGUUGCGCCAGGAGUGGCCUUGCCCCUCUGCCACCGCCAGCGGAGAGAGGGCGUCUCAGGUCUCACUCUCAUGGAGGACCAAAAACCGAAGUUUUGAAUGUCACUUUGCCAGUGGGAACACAAAAUGCGACUUCGGUCCAAAUAGUAACCUUUGGGCUAGCGUUUCUGCUCUUAUAAAUCUCAAACGUUGCUUGCUGUCUGCUUCGUGUCCCAGAUUCCUGCAUAAGUCUGUGGACUGCAUCAAAACACUUUUGAACAUAGAGACCGGGUGUGGUGACUUUGUAGGUUGUCUACUCAGCUGCAUUGAACUAAGUUUCCCAGAAUUCCCUUCCCUCCGUGGUUCCGGAUGACAUUUGGGAGGCCACUGUGAGGCAGCUGCUACUUUUAUGCUCUGAAGGUCUUGUGUAGGCACCAGGCACCCUGGCAGCUCUCAUCUCCUGUUAAGCAGCUGCUGGCCUACCUCUUGGCGUGGGGCUACAGCUCCUCCAGAACCUGGAACAGGUAUAUGGGCAACUCUGACAAAGGGCCCCAGCUGCUUCUGCAGGUCACUCACAUCCUGAAGGCUGGAGACGGCGAGACAUACAGACUUGGAUCCCCACCUUCUAUACCAGCGGUUCUCAGCCUCGGCUGCUGGUAGGAAUCACUUGCGGCCCAGGAUGCCCUUGAAGGAGGAAGGGGACAACCUUCUAAGUUUAAAGCAACUUAAGAAAACAGAGGAAGACGGACGUAUUUGCUACCUAAAAAUGUUAAAGCUUCCGAAAAUUAUUUUGCUAUUUAAUUAAGCAAGUUUUAUGUUUUAAUACCCAAAGCUGGUGAGAACAUGCUUCUCGUUCUUGCUAAUGACUGGGUAACUAGGUAUAAUCUCUUGGAAAAAACGAUCUAGUCAACUGUAUCCAGAGGCAUAAAGAUGUACAUACUAUUAUAUUGUAUCUACUUCUAGAAAUCUAUCCUAAGGAAGUAACUCAAAUACUGAAAUAAGCUGAGGUCCUCAAAAUGUUCUCUGGAGUAUUAUUUAUAACAGAAAUUAGAAAUAACCUAAAUAACCAAAAGGAGAAUAAAG